CCCUGUUUAUCAUCCCAACCAUUGAGGAGGAGUCAAUGCAAAACUGACCUCUUCCAUCACUACUUAUCUUACUGCAGAGUGGAGGAGAGGAUUAAAGCUCUGACUAGAUUGAUGAACAGAGACACAUCAUAACUACUAAUAGUUCAUCAUGACGUUUACUAUUGUGGUUCUUCUGAUGACAAUGGGCUUGAAAGAUGUUCAUGGUCAGACACUGACUGAGUCUGGACCAGUUGUAAAAAUAACUGGAGAAACACACAAAGUGACCUGUACAGCUUCUGGGUUCACAUUCAGUAGCUACUGGAUGGCUUGGAUCAGACAGGUUCCUGGGAAAGGACUUGAAUGGAUUGCCAUUAUAAGAUAUGAUAGUGCUGAAAUCUACUACUCCCAGUCUGUUCAGGGUCGGUUCACCAUCUCCAGAGACAACAGUAAGCAGCAGGUGUAUCUCCAGAUGAACAGCCUGAACACUGAAGACUCUGCUGUUUAUUAUUGUGCCAGAGACACAGUGACACAGGAGGCUGCUGCGCUGUAUAAAAACUGGACAACACUGAUCUCAAUAUUGGAAGCAAUGAGAUGAGUCUGUGCUCCACUC